UUUGGCUUGUACAAAUGGCCAGUCCCCUGCCAAGGGAUCCAAACAGGAACUCAGAUUUCUCUGAUCUAUAACAUCUCUGCUUUGGCUUACCAUGCUAAGGCCGAUCUUCCGGUGAAUAAUUGUAAUAAUAAAAUUCCAAAUGGGUAAGUGUGAAUUGAAAGACAGUUCUCCUGUUGUAAGGAAAUGAUGAUCCAAGUAGAGGAAAGUGCCCCUUGGGUCAGUUUCAUGAGAUAGUGUCAUGCCCCUUGGGUCAGUUUCAUGAGAUAGUGUCAUGCCCCUUGAAUUUUCAUGAAGAGAGAAUGCUUGACAGAUUCCAUAGUAACUGAGUUUGCAUGCAAGGUUAGCAUCAAGGAGAAUAUUUCCUGGCUUUAAACCACCAUGUACAAUGCUGUGAGGCUUGCUGGAAUGAAGAAACAUAAGGACAGAGCAUAACUCAGUGGCUAUGCGUAUUCGAGCUUGCCAAGGCAAGGGUGGAGUGUUGUCCUUGCAGCUGAGCCGAUCCUCAAGGGUUCCAUUUGGUAAAUAUUCAUAGACUAGAGCACAAGCUUCUGAGCAGGCUCCAAUGAGAAUGGCCAAGUUCGGAUGCCUCAAUUUACUUAAUAAUUCAACCUCCUGUUCAAACUCCAGACGCCCUUGCAUGCUCUCUGGGUUCAGCACCUUUAUAGCUACUGGGGUGUGACGAAGAUUAGCUCUGUAAGUGUUCCCAUAACCAUCUCUCCCAAUCCUUAAGAUUGGGUCAAAGUUGAAGGUUGCUUCAUGAAUUUCUGACAAAGAGAACACGGAAAGAAACUGAUGCAUUUGUGAGCAUGAGGCAUCUUCUACUUGCUUUUUUGAAAGCUCCUCAGCCAGCUCCUUGGCUAAUUUGAGAACAUUGUCAUGCUCUACCUGCAACUUAUCUCUUUCUUUCUUAUAUUCUUUGCACUGUUCUACAGCAGAAAGUCUUUCAUCAUUCAACUCUUUUAUCUUUUCAUCAAAUUUUGAAACUUGGAUAUGCUGUAAUAAUUUCUGAUCCUUGGUAAUCACUCUCUCCUCAUCCCACUGAUUCUUUGUCCUCUGAUGGUUUUCUUUCUCUCUUGCAAGUGCUCCCUCAAUUUCUUUCCUACAUCUCAACUCCCUAGCAUACAAGAUUUCUAAAUCUUUAGCCCUGCGAACAGCGUUAACAGCAGUCUUUUCAGCUACUCCACACCUUAGCGACUCUUCAAGUGCUUGUUUUUUAAACUUUUCAGCCUCUGACAUGGCACGUUCCAGUUGAUUGUAAAGUUGAUCAAUACUACUUUCUUCCAGUGAAUCACGAUUGUGACUAUUUUCCUCAGAUAGAGACACUUCAUGUAACUCCAACUCAAGUCCACUCCCGUCAGUUCUCUGCUGCAAAAAAGAAGCGGAGUUUCCAAACCCAUUGGUUGUGGAGCAUGUAGAAUCCCCUUUGCUAUAAAUACAGUAAUUGUUGUUAGAGACAAUCGAGUAUUAACCAGCACUUGAGACAGUGAAGUCCAUGAUAAAAAGCUAUAAAAUAUAUUAAUUUAUAUAUUAAUUUAAAUCUCUGUCCCACAAAUAUUUCCUCAACAGAUGAUAUGCACGCAUUAUGAAAUGUGUAAUAUCAAGCAUACCAUAUGAAGUAUCCAUUGCAGAUAUACCAAAUUUGACAGGAAGAAGGCACAUGUAGUUGGAUAUAUUUAGCCUUCUUGGACUUAAGAUCCAUCAUUUCCUCUGAAUAGUGUUUGUUUGCCGCUGCUCCCAUAACAAGCUUCUUAAUAUCAUAAUGGUAUGCGAGUUCUAUAAUCCCCUUCCCAACAUCAUCCAUCUCCACACAUAACUUGUCUGCAUGGACAUCUAAUUGACCGCAGAAGAGGACGUAAUCAUCCAGGAUCUUGAGCAUAAUGUUCCUUUCAAGUUUUUGGAACUCCUUCAGCUCAUGUUGCCCAAGCCUGCUAGCCGGAAAUUUUCCGCCGACGAAGGGGAUCAUUUUAGCAGGCUGAUGAACAUGAAUAAUACACAAUCUCUUCCCGGGAAAAUUCUCUAUUGCCCAUACCAAAUUCAACUUGUUUUCUUCAAAAUCCUUACCCACUGCAACAUAUACAGUGUCAUCAUCAUCUUCAUCUGCCACUUGCGACGUUGAUCCCCUCCUUGAGGAGCUCUCAGCUUCCCAUUCUGCCAUCGACAAGUCUUGCUCACCUAAGCAGACCCAGGCAGUGAAAUCGCUAAAGCAUGCCCCAGCUAGCACCAGUAGCUCCAAG
rnacentral:misc_RNA from 1 species